rnacentral:tRNA from 1 species
AGCACAGUGGCACAAUGGGCAGUGUUGCUACCUUACAGCUCCAGGGUCCUUGGUUCAAUCCUGAGCUGUGUGU